CUCUCUCUCUCUCAUAUUGAAAUCCGAUUUCAUUCAUCUUUUCUUUCUAUCAUUCAUUUUCCUAAUUUCUGUUUACGUCAGCAGCGCUUCAUUCAUGAUUCUAAAUGAAAUAUAUGAUAUCAUAUGUGUUUGUGAGAUUAUUAUAGGUUGUUAGGUAGAUAAGGUAGGCUUACUUCAAAUGUCAUCAAGGCACCGCGUUCAUCACCGGGAACCCUUGAGUUCCCGCCGGGGUUACCCUUCCGACGCCCCUUAUACCCGCCCGCCUCCUCCCAUUCCCCGCCCAGCCAUCCCGCCGCCGCAUCCCGCCGCCCUCCUCGAAGAAGAACUCGAAUUGCAGCACGCCGAGAUGCGUAGGGUUGUGGCCGACAACCGCAGGCUCAUUGAGGACCGUGUGGUAUUGCAGCGUGACCUUGCUGCUGCCAAGGAGGAACUUCACCGUAUGAACCUUGCCAUUGGUGAUAUUCGUGCUGAGCAUGAGUUGCAUUCCAGGGAGCUCAUUGACAAAGGAAGGAAGAUGGAGUCUGAUCUCAGGGCUGCCGAGCCCCUGAAGAGUGAGGUUGCGCAGCUGCGAGCCGAGGUUCAGAAACUUAACACUCUUAAGCAAGAACUUACAGGGAAGGUUCAGACGCUUAAUCAGGAUGUUGCAAGGUUACAAGCUGAUAAUAAACAGAUUCCCAUGUUGAAGUCCGAGAUUGAUGGCCUACGCCAGGAGCUAAUGCGUGCAAGAACCAUGGUGGAUUAUGAAAAGAAGGCAAACAUAGAGUUCAUGGAACAAAGGCAAUCAAUGGAGAAAAACUUGGUUUCCAUGGCUCGGGAAGUGGAGAAGCUACGUGCAGAGCUUGCUAGUGUUGAUGGCAGACAGUGGGGUGCUGGCGGGCCUUAUGGAACACAGUUUGGUAGCCCCAAAGGGGGUUAUCCCGCUCUGUAUGCAGAUGGAUAUGGACCAUAUGGCGUUCACCUGGGUGCUGUGGAGAAAGGUCCUCUGUAUGGGGCAGGUGCUACUUCAAGGAAAGGACCUGAGAAGUCUCGCACUAAUCGCCGUUGAAAUUCUAAGUGAUCGCUGUUGGUGAAGAAGUGAGGCUUGCCAUCACUUUAGCCCGUGUUAACACCAUGGCUGUGAUUGAGUUUGGCAUCCUUCUAUCUGUGCAUGCCUCAUCAAUGCUUAUUUUCUGGUUACAAUUGAUGAGAGGCUGGGAAUUUUGUAGGGGACUCUGAAAUGAGGAAAACUUUUCACGUCUUUUGGCCUAAAUGUUGCAAGAUUUUGAGGAACAACAAUAUAUUCUUGAUUGAUUUUGAAAUGCAAAUGGGAUGUAUUUUCCCAUUAUGGGCUAAAGACUGUUCAAUCAAGAGGAUAUACUUAGAUAGCUUGUUGCGUCAAGGUAAACUAUAUAUUCUGAUAUUAGAUAUGAAGCUUCGGUGGUAGCCACGGAUUGUUUCGACUUACAAAUGGUAAUGCUGAAAGUUGUGACACAAUUUUUGUCUGGUAGAUGGAUCAUGAAUGAUUGCUUCAGAUGUUGCUAAAUGUGGUUUCUGGAGGAAGGGAUGUCUCAGUUUAGAUAUUUUUCAACACAUGCCUCAAAUUCAGGUUGAUGCAGACUACUUCACACCACCAAUAUUUGAAGCUAGGCCAAUGAAGCCUGCCUUAAGGUCGUUGCUAUAUAAUCAGAUUUAGCUUGAAAUCUGUUUGAUAGUCAUUUCAACGCUUCUCCGCACACAUUUUCAUGAUCAUGUGUUAUACAUGACAAAGAACUUUACCUAUUAUCAUUUGAUUAUUCAUUAUUCCAUCGAGAUUUUUCAUAUAACCGCCACCGUUCCGUAACCGUGUGUUCCAUGCAUUGUACUUCCCUGGACUCAAAUAUGUUUCACAGAUUCGAUUUAGUGUACCUUUUGCUGCUGUUA